GUCUAUGGCUAUAUCACCUUGAACAUGCCAGAUCUCGUUUGAUCUCAGAAGCUAAACAGGAUCAAGCCUGAUUAGUACUGGGAAGGAAGAUAUAGAGG
rnacentral:rRNA from 1 species